UCCCUCCCUCCCUCCCUCCUUCCCUCCCUCCUUCCCUCCCAGAUAUCAUAAUCUCACAUGAUGGGGACUCCGCUCCUGCGGGAUUACGCGGUGAGGGAGGGGAGGUGGUGGAGAGGAAUUUGGAUCAUCUGAGGGAUUCUCGCUUUAAUCUCAUUUACUGAUACAAAAUCUGAGACGUUUACAUCCAACAUUGGGUCGUGGAGGUACCGGAUCCACAAGGUCUAGUCCGGACCACAGAAAGUCCAGAAGAUGCUGGAACCACUUCUGCUGAUCCUUUCGAUGCAGAUGAGCAGCAGCUCAGACCGGAAACCACGAAGAGGAAGUUCCUUUAAGGUGCUCGUGUCCAAGAGCGGGACGAGUGGGUUUUUCUUCAGGGUUUAAUCAUCCUUAAGGUUCUGUUUCUGAAACUGGGUAAAAAUAAAUAAAAUAAAAAUAAAACACAGGCUGAACUUAAUGAAAAUGUGUUGAUGCA